rnacentral:rRNA from 1 species
GCAUGGGGGUUGGUGGAAAGGUUUUUUCUGGUGGGGGAUGGGCUCGCGGCCUAUCAGCUUGUUGGUGGGGUGAUGGCCUACCAAGGCUUUGACGGGUAGCCGGCCUGAGAGGGUGACCGGUCACAUUGGGACUGAGAUACGGCCCAGACUCCUACGGGAGGCAGCAGUGGGGAAUAUUGCACAAUGGGCGAAAGCCUGAUGCAGCGACGCCGCGUGAGGGAUGGAGGCCUUCGGGUUGUAAACCUCUUUCGCUCAUGGUCAAGCCGCAACUUAGGGUUGUGGUGAGGGUAGUGGGUAAAGAAGCGCCGGCUAACUACGUGCCAGCAGCCGCGGUAAUACGUAGGGCGCGAGCGUUGUCCGGAAUUAUUGGGCGUAAAGCGUGCGCAGGCGGUUCGGAAAGAAAGAUGUGAAAUCCCAGAGCUUAACUUUGGAACUGCAUUUUUAACUACCGGGCUAGAGUGUGUCAGAGGGAGGUGGAAUUCCGCGUGUAGCAGUGAAAUGCGUAGAUAUGCGGAGGAACACCGAUGGCGAAGGCAGCCUCCUGGGAUAACACUGACGCUCAUGCACGAAAGCGUGGGGAGCAAACAGGAUUAGAUACCCUGGUAGUCCACGCCCUAAACGAUGUCAACUAGCUGUUGGGGCCUUCGGGCCUUGGUAGCGCAGCUAACGCGUGAAGUUGACCGCCUGGGGAGUACGGUCGCAAGAUUAAAACUCAAAGGAAUUGACGGG